rnacentral:rRNA from 1 species
GACGAACGCUGGCGGCGUGCCUAAUACAUGCAAGUAGAACGCACAGUUUAUACCGUAGCUUGCUACACCAUAGACUGUGAGUUGCGAACGGGUGAGUAACGCGUAGGUAACCUGCCUGGUAGCGGGGGAUAACUAUUGGAAACGAUAGCUAAUACCGCAUAAUAUUAAUUAUUGCAUGAUAAUUAAUUGAAAGGUGCAAUUGCACCACUACCAGAUGGACCUUCGUUGUAUUAGCUAGUAGGUGAGGUAACGGCGCACCUAGGCGACGAUACAUAGCCGACCUGAGAGGGUGAUCGGCCAAACUGGGACUGAGACACGGCCCAGAAUCCUACGGGAGGCAGCAGUAGUGAAGCUUCGGAAAUGGACGAAAGUCUGACCGAGAAACGCCGCGUGAGUGAAGAAGGUUUUCGGAUCGUAAAGCUCUGUUGUAAGAGAAGAACGGGUGUGAGAGUGGAAAGUUCACACUGUGACGGUAUCUUACCAGAAAGGGACGGCUAACUACGUG